GAUUCCUUCGCACCUCGUCAUUGACCACAACAGACACCUCACUCCCAGAUUUGUUCCCCUUCUCCUCCCUACUCCACCGGUGCGACUUCUAGGGAGACAUUGAUGGUCCAUCUCGGCGUUAGGGGGGCGAGCCCCUAAUCUCCUCCGCCUCCCAUCCUGACAGAUUACUUUAUGUGGUCGUGAUGCCCAUCCCAAUAGGGAGGCUGAAUAGGCAUUGGGGAAUUCCCAAGCAAUAGAAGAUUGCUGCCUUCACCUUGAGCGUCAGCCCUUCUCGACGUCGAUGGGAGCAGGCCUGGCCGUCUGCACAAAACGCAUCGCUCCGUCCAUGCCAAUCCUUCUUAAUGCCUCUAACCAUGGAGGUAGAAGGAAGCACGUCCACCAUAGGAAGGAAGCAAGUCUACCAUAUGAAGGAAGCACGGCCGAUUUUGGAAGGAAGCACGACUACCAUGCAAAGCACAACCGGCAUCGGAAGGAAAGCAGGACUUUCAUGCACGGCCAGCAUUCAAAUGGCGCACGCCCACCAUCAAAUAGAAGCAUGACUACCAUCACAGUGAAGCUUGACCAACAUUAGAAGGAAGCAUGGUGACCAUGGCCUGGUGGUGUUUGAACUGUGUGUAACGUUUUGUUUUAUGGAAGCAAAUUCUACAUUAUUUUGCAUGCAUAUUCUAGUUUCUUUGGAAGCGCUAGUUCAGUUUGUUCAAAACCUACGCAGUGUUGCUUCUAUUUGUACGUUUUUACUGUACAACCAUUUCCUUCCUUUAGUGAAUUAUUAUGCCAGACACUAAAUUGUGUGCUUCCUUCUUUCUAACUAAAUGCUUCAAAUGUACAGAUUCUGAAUGAUGAUAUAAUAUGUUGUGGGGCAGA